UACAGAGACUGCAAGCGUUGUCCGGAAUCAUUGGGCGUAAAGCGCGCGUAGGCGGCCUCGUAAGUCCGUUGUGAAAGUCAAAGGCUCAACCUUUGAAAGCCGAUGGAUACUGUGAGGCUAGAGUCCGGAAGAGGCGAGUGGAAUUCCUGGUGUAGCGGUGGAAUGCGCAGAUAUCAGGAGGAACACCAAUAGCGAAGGCAGCUCGCUGGGACGGUACUGACGCUAAGGCGCGAAAGCGUGGGGAGCGAACAGG
rnacentral:rRNA from 1 species